rnacentral:rRNA from 1 species
UACGUAGGGUGCAAGCGUUAAUCGGAAUUACUGGGCGUAAAGCGUGCGCAGGCGGUGAUGUAAGACAGAUGUGAAAUCCCCGGGCUCAACCUGGGACCUGCAUUUGUGACUGCAUCGCUAGAGUACGGUAGAGGGGGAUGGAAUUCCGCGUGUAGCAGUGAAAUGCGUAGAUAUGCGGAGGAACACCGAUGGCGAAGGCAAUCCCCUGGACCUGUACUGACGCUCAUGCACGAAAGCGUGGGGAGCAAGCAGG